rnacentral:rRNA from 1 species
CGUUCUCGCCGGAUGUAGGAACCGACCCGGGGACCGCCGGGGCAACCCGGCGCCCCCGAGACGGGGCGAACCACGGUGAAAUGACGGAUCGUCGGCCCCGCGCCGGCGACUCGCCGAAUGAGUUUCUGACCUAUCAACUCGAGACGGCGGGGUAGAGGCCCGCCGCGGUAACGACGGGUAACGGGGAAUCAGGGUUCGAUUCCGGAGAGGGAGCCCGAGAAACGGCUACCACUUCCAAGGAAGGCAGCAGGCGCGCAACUUACCCUAAUCUCGAUUCGAGGAGGUAGUGACAAGAAAUACCGAUGCGGGACCCUACGGGUGCCGCGUUCGGAAUGAGUACGAUUCGAACCACCUAACGAGGAACGAUCGGAGGGCAAGUCUGGUGCCAGCAGCCGCGGUAAUUCCAGCUCCAAUAGCGUACGU